AUUUUUUAAAGACGACACAAGUUUGACCUCAAAUCAGGUAGGAAUACCCGCUGAACUUAAGCAUAUCAAUAAGCGGAGGAAAAGAAACCAACCGGGAUUGCCUUAGUAACGGCGAGUGAAGCGGCAAGAGCUCAAAUUUGAAAUCUGGUACCCUUGGUGCCCGAGUUGUAAUUUGUAGAGCGUAACUUCUGGAGCAGGCUUUGCCUAUGUUCUUUGGAACAAGACGUCAUGGAGGGUGAUAAUCCCGUGUGGCGAGGUAUGUGCUCUGUUGUGAGUUGCGUUCGACGAGUCGAGUUGUUUGGGAAUGCAGCUCUAAGUGGGUGGUAUACUCCAUCUAAAGCUAAAUAUCAGCGAGAGACCGAUAGCGAACAAGUACAGUGAUGGAAAGAUGAAAAGAACUUUGAAAAGAGAGUGAAAAAGUACGUGAAAUUGUUGAAAGGGAAGGGCAUUUGAUCAGACAUGGUAGGUAGUGCCCUGUGCCCCUUGUGGGUGCGGGACUCUCGCUGCUUGCUGGGCCAGCAUGAGUUUUGGGGCUUUGAUAACGGCGCUGGAAUGUGGCUUUGCACAUUGUGUAAAGUGUUUAUAGCCAGUGUUAAUGGAGGCACCCGGGACUGAGGACUGCGACAUUUCAAGAUGCUGCG
rnacentral:rRNA from 1 species